GCUGCAUGCUCUUCAUAUACAUGUCCACUAUAUCUUGCUGCACCACCUUCUGUUCAGGCUCAAUGUUGACACUGACAACAGGCUUAUUAAUUGCAUCACUUGGCACUCCACCAGAGGAAUCGCUCUCUCCUUCUCCAACAUCAACCUUUUUCUCUUUUGAGGGAGGUUCUUGUUCCUGAUUCUGUGGCUUUGAAACUACCGGAGAAUCAGAGGAAUCAGAGCUAGCAGC
rnacentral:lncRNA from 1 species